UACGGGGGGGGCAAGCGUUGUUCGGAAUUACUGGGCGUAAAGGGCUCGUAGGCGGCCAACUAAGUCAUACGUGAAAUCCCUCGGCUUAACCGGGGAACUGCGUCUGAUACUGGAUGGCUUGAGUUCGGGAGAGGGAUGCGGAAUUCCAGGUGUAGCGGUGAAAUGCGUAGAUAUCUGGAGGAACACCGGUGGCGAAGGCGGCAUCCUGGACCGAUACUGACGCUGAGGAGUGAAAGCCAGGGGAGCAAACGGG
rnacentral:rRNA from 1 species